rnacentral:lncRNA from 1 species
CGCCUGUAGCCGGGCUUGACAUCAGGCAAAAUGUUUUUUUUUUUUUUUUAAAUCAACCAUUAUAACGACGUAGAAAGUGCAAACAUCUACAGGAAACCGGAAAGGGUCACCAAAGACGCCCCGCUGACAAAAACCCGUCUGAAAACCACCUAAACGGAGCUAAAUGUAGCGCACCGUGUGCCAACUUUGUUUCGAAUAUCCAAACCCCGGCAGUCCCCGUAUCCCUCUAGCGGCGCGGACUGCACCGAUACCCGGCAUGCAUCGUUAGGAGACACCGCAGAGCAACCAUGUUUCUCAGUACCGGCCAUGGCAGUCAAAAACACCCCCCGAAAACAGCACUGAACGACGCAGUCAGUCUUCACGGCAGAGAGAUGAUGAAGGUGGUCAGGUGGAAGCUGGGCUGUCAAACACGGAAACAUUUUAGCAGGCCGCAUCUGUCAUGGUUGUGUCAGAGCACUCAACGCCCAGCAGGCGAGAGGGAAAAAAGGAGAUUUGUCUUUGAUUUCCACCCACAGAGAGUCAGAUCCACAAACACAAUCACAACAAUCAAUUUGCAGAAUCAACAAGUAACAGAAGAGAUGACUAUGUGCCAUGGAAGGUGCUGAGGUGUAGACGGUGCAUGUGAUCUGCUGGGCGGAGCUAUGGCUGACUCGACUUACCUUAUCCAAUCCUCUGUCUACGUGCGGAUACUUAAGCACCUCUCCCUUUGACUUCAGUGCCAGUUCUUCAUGUACCUCGAGUCGUAAGCAACUAGCUGUGAACCUUGCCUUAUUCUUAGUGCCUUGUGACUUACCUUGUUUCUCCUUGUUAGGCCUCCAGCCACAGCGCCCAGCUGAUCCUCGCCUUGGACCUGGACCUUUUGUUUUUUCGCCUUCGUGGUAGUUUUGUUUUUGGGCUCAACAUUUUCGCCCUUGUGGUAGUUUUGUUUUGCACUUUGCCUUUUUCGCCCUUGUGUCUGUUAGCUUUAUUAAAAACUGUUAACCGCACACUACACAUAUACCAUAUAACUAAGAACUUAAGAUAAAUAUAAAGUGUAAAAAAUGUACCUACAAUGAGGCACACACAAAAAUAAAUAGCUGCGUGAGAGGAGAGCUUAUACCUAA